AGAGCGAACGCUGGCGGCGUGCUUAACACAUGCAAGUCGAGUGCGCGCCUGUAGCAAUACAGGUGGCGCACGGCGCACGGGUGCGUAACACGUGGGUAAUCUGCCCUUCGAUGGGGAAUAACUCCGGGAAACCGAAGCUAAUUCCGCAUAACAUUCCUUGGACCUCGGUCUGGGGAUUCAAAGCCGUAAGGCGUCGGAGGAGGAACCCGCGCACGAUUAGUUAGUUGGCAGGGUAACGCCUACCAAGACUUUGAUCGUUA
rnacentral:rRNA from 1 species